rnacentral:rRNA from 1 species
UUCUGACGCUGAAGGCGAAAGCUAGGGGAGCGAACGGGAUUAGAAACCCCGGUAGUCCUAGCCGUAAACGAUGGAUGCUGGCUCUGGGGGGUAUAGAUCCCCUCCGUGCCGAAGCUAACGCGUUAAGCAUCCCGCCUGGGGAUUACGGCCGCAAGGCUUAAACUCAAACGAAUUGACGGGGGCCCGCACAAGCAGCGGAGCGUGUGGUUUAAUUCGAUGCUACACGAAGAACCUUACCUGGGCUUGACAUGUAGGUAGUAGUGAAGCGAAAGCGGAACGACCCUUCGGGGAGCCUACACAGGUGCUGCAUGGCUGUCGUCAGUUCGUGCCGUGAGGUGUCGGGUUAAGUCCCGUAACGAACGCAACCCUUGCCCUUAGUUACAUGUGUCUAAGGGGACUGCCCGGGACAACUGGGAGCAAGGUGGGGAUGACGUCAAGUCAGCAUGGCCUUUAUGUCCAGGGCUACACACACGCUACAAUGGCCGGUACAAUGGGUCGCCAAGCCGUGAGGCGGAGCCAAUCCCCCAAAGCCGGUCUAAGUUCGGAUUGUGGGCUGCAACUCGCCCAUAUGAAGCUGGAGUUGCUAGUAACCGCGCGUCAGCAAUAGUGCGCUGAUACGUUCCCGGGCAUUGUACACACCGCCCGUCACGUCAUGGAAGCUGGCAACACCUGAAGCCAGUGAGCUAACCCGCAAGGGGGCAGCUGUCGAAGGUGGGGCU